rnacentral:rRNA from 1 species
GAGAGUUUGAUCCUGGCUCAGGACGAACGCUGGCGGCGUGCCUAAUACAUGCAAGUCGAACGCUUUUUCUUUCACCGGAGCUUGCUCCAUCGGAAGAAAAAGAGUGGCGGACGGGUGAGUAACACGUGGGUAACUUGCCCAUCAGAGGGGGAUAACACUUGGAAACAGGUGCUAAUACCGCAUAACUCCAGUGACCGCAUGGUCAUGGGAUAAAAGACGCUUUCGGGUGUCACUGAUGGAUGGGCCCGCGCUGCAUUAGCUAGUUGGUGGGGUAAAGGCUCACCAAGGCCAUGAUGCAUAGCCGACCUGAGAGGGUGAUCGGCCACACUGGGACUGAGACACGGCCCAGACUCCUACGGGAGGCAGCAGUAGGGAAUCUUCGGCAAUGGACGAAAGUCUGACCGAGCAACGCCGCGUGAGUGAAGAAGGUUUUCGGAUCGUAAAACUCUGUUGUUAGAGAAGAAUCAGCGGGAAAGUAACUGUUCCCGCCCUGACGGUAUCUAACCAGAAAGCCACGGCUAAU